rnacentral:rRNA from 1 species
AUACGGGGGGGGCGAGCGUUGUCCGGAAUUAUUGGGCGUAAAGGGCGCGUAGGCGGAAUAGUAAGUCAGAAGUGAAAAUCAUGGGCUUAACUCAUGACCUGCUUUUGAUACUGCUAUUCUCGAGUGCGAGAGAGGAAAGCGGAAUUCCCGGUGUAGCGGUGAAAUGCGUAGAUAUCUGGAAGAACACCGGUAGCGAAGGCGGCUUUCUGGCUCGCAACUGACGCUGAGGCGCGAAAGCGUGGGGAGCAAACAGGAUUAGAAACCCCAGUAGUCC